rnacentral:rRNA from 1 species
CUAACAAGGAUUCCCCCAGUAACGGCGAGUGAAGCGGGAUGAGCUCAAAUUUGAAAUCUCCGGUGCUUGCACCGGCGAGUUGUAGUUGCGAGAAGCACUUUCUAGGCGGAUCGGCGGCGCCUAAGUUGCUUGGAACAGCAUGUCGCAGAGGGUGACAACCCCGUCUGUGGCGUGGCCGGCCGCUGACGAUGUGCUUUCGAAGAGUCGGGUUGUUUGGGAAUGCAGCCCAAAAUGGGUGGUAAACUCCAUCUAAAGCUAAAUAUUGGCGUGAGACCGAUAGCGAAGGAAACGAAUGGACUCAGCAAUGCGCCGUUUGAGAUUCAGCCGGUGGGUGGGAUCGGCUCGGGGUUUGCGGAUCUGAAUGGACCGCGGCCUUGGGCUCGUUUCUCCUCGCCGUCGCACUUCUCUUGGGCGCGCGUCAACGUCGGUUGGGACUGGGUCUGAAAGGUGCCGGGAAGGUAGGUCUGGACCUCCGGGUCCGGUCUGUUACAGCCUGGUUCUCUCAUGGCUCGGGUCCGACCGAGGAGUUGCAGCGCAUGCCUCUUGUGGCUAGGGUGCCGUCCUUCCGGCCGGUUGUCGAAUGUGGUGGACUGCUUGCAGUGCUCCGCGACUGCUGCCGGUCGUUGGGGUGGUGAUCU